rnacentral:rRNA from 1 species
AUUGAACGCUGGCGGCAGGCCUAACACAUGCAAGUCGAACGGUAACAGGAAACAGCUUGCUGUUUCGCUGACGAGUGGCGGACGGGUGAGUAAUGUCUGGGAAACUGCUUGAUGGAGGGGGAUAACUACUGGAAACGGUAGCUAAUACCGCAUAACGUUGCAAGACCAAAGAGGGGGACCUUCGGGCCUCUUGCCAUCGGCUGUGCCCAGGUGGGAUUCGCUAGUAGGUGGGGUAACGGCUCACCUAGGCGACGAUCCCUAGCUGGUCUGAGAGGAUGACCAGCCACACUGGAACUGAGACACGGUCCAGACUCCUACGGGAGGCAGCAGUGGGGAAUAUUGCACAAUGGGCGCAAGCCUGAUGCAGCCAUGCCGCGUGUAUGAAGAAGGCCUUCGGGUUGUAAAGUACUUUCAGCGGGGAGGAAGGGAGUAAAGUUAAUACCUGUACUCAUUGACGUUACCCGCAGAAGAAGCACCGGCUAACUCCGUG